rnacentral:rRNA from 1 species
CAGCAGCCGCGGGAAUACGAAGGGUGCAAGCGUUAAUCGGAAUUACUGGGCGUAAAGGGUGCGUAGGCGGUUCGUUAAGUCUGUCGUGAAAUCCCCGGGCUCAACCUGGGAAUGGCGAUGGAUACUGGCGAGCUAGAGUGUGUCAGAGGAUGGUGGAAUUCCCGGUGUAGCGGUGAAAUGCGUAGAGAUCGGGAGGAACAUCAGUGGCGAAGGCGGCCAUCUGGGACAACACUGACGCUGAAGCACGAAAGCGUGGGGAGCAAACAGGAUUAGAUACCCCCGUAGUCCCUGUCUCUUAUAA